rnacentral:rRNA from 1 species
GACGGACGCUGGCGGCGUGCUUAACACAUGCAAGUCGAACGGAAAGGCCCCAGCUUGCUGGGGUACUCGAGUGGCGAACGGGUGAGUAACACGUGGGUGAUCUGCCCUGCACUCUGGGAUAAGCCUGGGAAACUGGGUCUAAUACCGGAUAGGACCGUCCGCUAGUGUGUGCGGUGGAGAGUUUUUCGGUGCAGGAUGAGCCCGCGGCCUAUCAGCUUGUUGGUGGGGUAAUGGCCUACCAAGGCGGCGACGGGUAGCCGGCCUGAGAGGGUGGACGGCCACAUUGGGACUGAGACACGGCCCAGACUCCUACGGGAGGCAGCAGUGGGGAAUAUUGCACAAUGGGCGCAAGCCUGAUGCAGCGACGCCGCGUGGGGGAUGACGGCCUUCGGGUUGUAAACCCCUUUCGGCAGGGACGAAGCGUUUGUGACGGUACCUGCAUAAGAAGCACCGGCUAACUACGUG